UGUUCUCGAAAAUCACCGUUACUUGUCUUUCUUUCUGUGAUUUCUGUUCGGUCUUUGUCUCACAAGUUCACUCUGGAACUAUUCUGCCUUGCCUUAUUUCUGUGGUCAAAUAGCCUGUGAGCCAUUUUGUUCUAUUUUCUGCUUUGCAGGCACCAUCGCUUAUACCAUUGCUACGUCAACAUCGUUAUCUCAUGCAUACAAGCAUCCUGGCAUCAAACAUUUAACUCGCAAUACAUCCAUAGAAAACC